rnacentral:rRNA from 1 species
AGUGAACGCUGGCGGUAGGCCUAACACAUGCAAGUCGAACGGCAGCACAGUAAUAGCUUGCUCUUACGGGUGGCGAGUGGCGGACGGGUGAGGAAUACAUCGGAAUCUACUUUUUCGUGGGUGAGAACGUAGGGAAACUUACGCUAAUACCGCAUACGACCUACGGGUGAAAGCAUGGGAUCUUCGGACCUUGCGCGAUUGAAUGAGCCGAUGUCGGAUUAGCUAGUUGGCGGGGUAAAGGCCCACCAAGGCGACGAUCCGUAGCUGGUCUGAGAGGAUGAUCAGCCACACUGGAACUGAGACACGGUCCAGACUCCUACGGGAGGCAGCAGUGGGGAAUAUUGGACAAUGGGCGAAAGCCUGAUCCAGCCAUACCGCGUGGGUGAAGAAGGCCUUCGGGUUGUAAAGCCCUUUUGUUGGGAAAGAAAAGCAGCAGGUUAAUACCCCGCUGUUCUGACGGUACCAAAAGAAUAAGCACCGGCUAACUUCGUG